AGGUAUCAGCCCUCAGGAGAGCCAGGUCUCUUUCCUUUCAGGAGCAUUUGCAGCCAUGUCAGAGCUGUCCCAGUAGGUGCCUUGCGUCCAGACCCCAGCAGACGGCUUUCACUAGACCCUUACCACCGAGAUUUGAGUAGAACCGAUUUUAAACUACUAUUAAGAGUCCCAGGAGCUACACAGUACCACAUGGUGCCUGCCUGCAUGGAACAGAUGGGGUUGAAGCUCCUUGAGAUCUUGGAUGCAGGUGGUAUUACACUGGAUAAAACCUCCUGUGACCCCCAGCUUUUUCUGGGGGAAACCCAGUCCUGAAUGGGACAUGCUGGGGAGGUCAGUCCUGAGUGCUGGAGCCCUGGCAGUGCUGGGUGCAGCCACGAGCCUCACUGCUGCGAUCUGAAGGGCAAGAGCAUCACUUCACCUUGGCUGCUCAGCCUUGAAAGUCACAUAAAGCACUUGCGCAAAAGGCUGUCACCAGAGCUGUUUGUGGCACAUCUCUGCCGCAUGUGUUGGUCAUACAAAGCCCUGAAGCUGUCCUGUUUGGUUUCCAGCACCCCAGCAGAUGCUCUGGGUUGCUUUGGGCACACACAGCCGCAGAGCAGACCUCUUCAAGUGAAGAAUUUGAAGUCAGAAAGUGGCUUGGACUCCGGAAGAGCUGGCGUGUUGCCCUACGGACAGAUUUCCUCACGGCUGCAGGAGAGUAAACCUGGGGCAGAUCCCAGUUUGGUUUGUGAGUCCUGUCACCAUCAUGUGUGCUGGGGACCUGGGACCCUUCGUGCAGCGGGAGCACCCCACGGCAGUUGGCGCAGGGCAGCGCCUUAAGCAAACACCCCGGGCGUGGGGCUGGGGCACAGGCUGGGGCUCGGUGGUUUGGUGGCAAAUCUGUGCAAUGCUCUGGAGGACCCGUGUCUUUCCAGGAAGGCUGGUAAUGGGGGUUUCGGCCCAUCCGCAGAGCUGCUGCCCAUCUGUGAGCAGGCUGCAACGAGGAGAGUUUGUCAGUGAUGAUAUUGGAAGCAAUUACUGAUCAGCAAGGUGCCGUGAGGCAGUAUGCAGGAGCCUGCGGGAUGGAUGUGAAAACAGUACGAUAGAUUCCUUCAAUACUGCUAAAUGGACAGCUUGACCAAACAAAUUGUACCCACGCCCCAGACCCAGGCGCUCGGCUGUCGCCCCGCUGCAGGUCUCGCUGUGACUCCCUUCCAAAGGACGGCUGAUCGACCUCCUUUCCCCGCAACGGCAAAGGCGUUUUCUGCCGUUCCUGUGCUGCUCACGAGUGCUGAAAUCGCAGCCCAGCCAAACCCAACACCGAAGCCUCAGGGGACCGGAGCCCCUGGGAGUGUGCCUGGCUCUGGACGGGUGCUGGGCUGUCAUCGGCAGGGCUUCAGCCUGCAAAUGGUGCCCGGCAAAUGCCAGCCAGACUGCGUAUUUGGAGGCCUCGUUUAAGGGGCUGCUGAUCAGGCAUCAGUGACUUUGAUAGCGUCAAGGACUAGAAAGCAAAUACUUCCACUAUAAGUCUUGUCUGCUUUAAAGUAGGUUAUAUUUUCAAAGCGCUUUAGUUCUUAGGAAUUUAAUAUUGCGAUGUCAAUUGUAAGACAAGUAAUUGGAUGGGGAGAAGGUUGUUACUGGAACCUGAGAUUAAAGGCAGGAUUUGAAACGCUGUGUUGCGUGCGGGUGGGUGUUUUUGUUCACUGCAAAUAUGACUCUGGAGGUUUCGCGGGCAGCAUUUCUGUUUGAAGUCAGCUCUGCUGCUCCGUGAGGUUUCCUGCGCCUGUGCCGUGUCCCACCGUGGCUUGAACACGAGAUGACUCGCAGAGCCAAAGAAGAGGGAACUGCUGCCCAUCCGCUGUGAAGCAGAGACCGGUGUCGGUCCUCUGCUCGGAAAUGGCCCUGCCCGAUGUCCCAGCGCCCACGGACUAGACUCCGUGCCCCUGCGAGGAGGCGCGUGCCGCGGGAGGCGGCAGGUCAGAUCCCGUCGCCGCGGGGAGCCCCAUGCCCUGGCACCAUCGGACCCGCCAGUGGAGCGGGCGCAGCAGACCGGGCUCCCUGCGAGCUGGUCCACGGCAAACCCUCCUCCAGGGAUGCAGCACUCACGUCAGCGCUCCAGUCAGUGUUCCUCGUGGGAAUGAACGCUCUUAUCUCUUCCUUUCUAUGCUUGGUUUGCUGCUCUGUGCAGGAGAGGAACACGAAUAAUACGGCACAUCCAGCACCCAGCCUCGCAUAAAGGAAACGAUCUAUUUAUUUAUUUCUGCUUCUACAAUGCUCCAAGUUCUUCGGGGGCCCCAAGAUGAAUCAGCAGCUCAGCAGCCACCAGCGAAUCGCUUGGAGCCUGUUACCUACCAGGCAGUAGCUUUCAAAAAAAAUCUGCUUACAGAGGACAGAAUUUGGCUCUUUCUCAAGAGCUCCUUCCAAAUCCAAGGUCUGUCUGGCAGUCUCCACGUUA